rnacentral:tRNA from 2 species
AUGGGGAAAGAAGCAUUACGGUAAUGUGGUUGGCUUGAAACCAAUUAAAGGGGGUUCAAUUCCUUCCU